AGAGUUUGAUCCUGGCUCAGGACGAACGCUGGCGGCGUGCUUAACACAUGCAAGUCGAACGAUGAAGCCCAGCUUGCUGGGUGGAUUAGUGGCGAACGGGUGAGUAACACGUGAGUAACCUGCCCUUGACUCUGGGAUAAGCGCUGGAAACGGCGUCUAAUACCGGAUAUGACAACCGACGGCAUCGUCUGGUUGUGGAAAGAAUUUUGGUCAAGGAUGGACUCGCGGCCUAUCAGCUUGUUGGUGAGGUAAUGGCUCACCAAGGCGACGACGGGUAGCCGGCCUGAGAGGGUGACCGGCCACACUGGGACUGAGACACGGCCCAGACUCCUACGGGAGGCAGCAGUGGGGAAUAUUGCACAAUGGGGCGAAAGCCUGAUGCAGCAACGCCGCGUGAGGGACGACNGGCUUCGGGUUGUAAACCUCUUUUAGCAGGGAAGAAGCGAAAGUGACGGACCUGCAGAAAAAGCCC
rnacentral:rRNA from 1 species